rnacentral:lncRNA from 1 species
GUUGAACUUUGGCUGCUUAAUGCUUUGGAAGAGUUUCCGUUACCACUCCAAACAUCCAAAUCUCAAGAAGUUACACUGUUUAUAAAAAGACUCGGGAGAAAGACAGACCUUUGUAACAUUGCCAAGACAGUGAGAGCAGUCUUGAACAGCAACAGCAAUGUCACUGUUCUGCGAUCAGAACUGCAUUCUGCCAUUGAUCAGGG